AUGGCCACGUGCCUCUCUGACCUAAUAAGUGACCAUUCCCUUGAUUUCCUGGGUCUACAGGAAACCAUGAAGAAACAUUUCUCCCCUAAAUGCUUGAGGAAAAUUGAUCCUUUUAAUAUUUUUGAGUCGGUCUGGAUCCCCUCACGUGGCAAAUCAGGUGGUAUCAUCGCAGGAGCUAGAAUGGAUAAUUUGGACUUAAGGUCUAGUAAGAAAGGAAAGUUCAUGAUCUAGCUUGAUCUAAAAGAUAGGAAGAAUAAAUCUGAAUGGAGUAUUCUAGUGGUGUAUGGCCCAGCUCAUGAGCAUAUGAGGGAGGAGUUCCUUCUGGAACUUGCUCAAUUUUGUUCUGAUAUGAACAAACCCUACAUAGUUGGGGGAGACUUUAACAUCUUGAGGCAUGGUGGAGAGAAAAAUAAAAAAUUACAUGACCAUAAAUCUAUUGACAUGUUCAACUCUGUCAUUAAUUCAUAUGGCCUGAGGGAGAUUUAUUAUAGUGGAGGGAAAUAUACUAGGACAAAUAACCAUACCCCCACCUUGGAAAAGAUAGACAGGAUUCUGAUGUCUUGUGACUGGGAAAGCUUGUACCCAUUGGUAACUGUUAGAAAGCUGGUUAGAGAGUUAUCUGACUGUUGGGGGUUGGGUGCGACAUAUGCCAAUGGAUGGCUUAUCAUGGUGGGAGCGAGUAGAACGUCGCCGGUGCCUGGAAGUGGGAUGAGGCGUAGGCACGUACGCCAGCGUACUUUACCCAGGUUCAGGGCUCUCCUAGGAGAUAACACCCCUAGUCCUGCUCUGCGGGGUCUAUGCAUGAUCACUAAAGCACUAGUGAGUACAACGGUGAUCCUCGAGCUGUAUGCUAGAGGUAGAAGAAGGCAAGGCUUGCUGUCCUCUCCCCCUAGGUGUGAGUCUAAUUCUAACAGGUUCCAACCCAUUUGCAUGGGCGCCCUGGGGGCUUUAUAUAGGCCUACCCCCCAGGGGCACAGUGGUAACUUGGUCGGGUGUGGGACCCGUCUGUCAGUAUCUCUGGUCGCUGGCUUCUCCGCCGACUGCCGUGCCCCACCGCCUGGUGGGCCCUACCGGCUGGUCUGGUAUGGAGCCGACAGGCUGCCCCUGCCACUCAUGGGUCUUGCCGGCUGUGGAUUACUGUGGCCGUGA
rnacentral:rRNA from 1 species